rnacentral:rRNA from 1 species
UACGUAGGGUGCAAGCGUUGUCCGGAAUUACUGGGCGUAAAGAGCUCGUAGGUGGUUUGUCGCGUUGUCCGUGAAAACUCACAACUCAAUUGUGGGCGUGCGGGCGAUACGGGCAGACUGGAGUACUGCAGGGGAGACUGGAAUUCCUGGUGUAGCGGUGGAAUGCGCAGAUAUCAGGAGGAACACCGGUGGCGAAGGCGGGUCUCUGGGCAGUAACUGACGCUGAGGAGCGAAAGCGUGGGGAGCGAACAGG